UAGGGAAUCUUCGGCAAUGGACGAAAGUCUGACCGAGCAACGCCGCGUGAGUGAAGAAGGUUUUCGGAUCGUAAAACUCUGUUGGUAGAGAAGAACAAGGACGUUAGUAACUGAACGUCCCCUGACGGUUUCUAACCAGAAAGCCACGGCUAACUACGUGCCAGCAGCCGCGGUAAUACGUAGGUGGCAAGCGUGGUCCGGAUGUAUUGGGCGUAAAGCGAGCGCAGGCGGUUUCUUAAGUGUGAUGUGAAAGCCCCCGGCUCAACCGGGGAGGGUCAUUGGAACCUGGGAGACUUGAGUGCAGAAGAGGAGAGUGGAAUUCCAUGUGUAGCGGUGAAAUGCGUAGAUAUAUGGAGGAACACCAGUGGCGAAGGCGGCUCUCUGGUCUGUAACUGACGCUGAGGCUCGAAAGCGUGGGGAGCAAACAGG
rnacentral:rRNA from 1 species